AGCCCCGAGCAGAGCAAAGUGCAAAUUUGAGGCAGCACCCCAACAGGGUGCCGGGGCUU
rnacentral:tRNA from 1 species